UGGUAACAAAUUUUUCAUGAU
rnacentral:piRNA from 1 species